AAUGAGCGAAAGCUUGAACCAGCCAAGUCGCGUGAAGGAUGAAUGCCCUACGGGUUGUAAACUUCUUUUUCAAGGGAAUAAAGUGGGCCACGCGUGGCCUUUUGCAUGUACCUUGCGAAUAAGGAUCGGCUAACUCCGUGCCAGCAGCCGCGGUAAUACGGAGGAUCCGAGCGUUAUCCGGAUUUAUUGGGUUUAAAGGGUGCGCAGGCGGGGGAUUAAGUCGGUGGUGAAAUUUUGCGGCUCAACCGUAAGAGUGCCAUUGAUACUGGUUCCCUUGAGUGUAGAUGAAGUAGGCGGAAUUUGUGGUGUAGCGGUGAAAUGCAUAGAUAUCACGAGGAACUCCGAUUGCGCAGGCAGCUUACUAGGCUACUACUGACGCUCAUGCACGAAGGCGUGGGGAUCAAA
rnacentral:rRNA from 1 species